rnacentral:misc_RNA from 1 species
GGAAGUAAAAUCGUAACAAGGUUUCCGUAGGUGAACCUGCGGAAGGAUCAUUGAGUGUUAUCCACCCCAACCCCGGUGUCUUUGCCACUUGUCUGCGCGGCCCUUCGGGGCCCGUGGAAUAACCUUACACACCAAACCAACACCUAGAGCUAAUGCCGCACUGGCUUUGCCGGUUGCAGUAUAACAAAAGACAACUCUCAGCAACGGAUAUCUUGGCUCUC